GGCUCAGGAUGAACGCUGGCGGUCUGCUUACACAUGCAAGUCGAACGGACAUCUUCGGAUGUUAGUGGCGGACGGGUGAGUAACGCGUGAGAAUCUGCCCUUAGGAUGGGGAUAACGACUGGAAACGGUCGCUAAAACCCGAUGUGCCGAGAGGUGAAAUAUUUAUAGCCUGAGGAUGAGCUCGCGUCAGAUUAGCUAGUUGGUGGGGUAAUGGCUCACCAAGGCGACGAUCUGUAGCUGGUCUGAGAGGAUGAUCAGCCACACUGGAACUGAGACACGGUCCAGACUCCUACGGGAGGCAGCAGUGGGGAAUUUUCCGCAAUGGGCGAAAGCCUGACGGAGCAAGACCGCGUGGGGGAUGAAGGUUUGUGGAUUGUAAACCCCUUUUGUCAGGGAAGAAUAACUGACGGUACCUGACGAAUAAGCCUCGGCUAACUCCGUGCCAGCAGCCGCGGUAAUACGGAGGAGGCAAGCGUUAUCCGGAAUUAUUGGGCGUAAAGCGUCCGUAGGUGGUUAUUCAAGUCUGUUGUUAAAGAGUGGGGCUUAACCUCAUAAAGGCAAUGGAAACUGAAGGACUUGAGUGCGGUAGGGGUAGAGGGAAUUCCCAGUGUAGCGGUGAAAUGCGUAGAUAUUGGGAAGAACACCGGUGGCGAAAGCGCUCUACUGGACCUGCACUGACACUGAGGGACGAAAGCUAGGGGAGCGAAAGGGAUUAGAUACCCCUGUAGUCCUAGCCGUAAACGAUGGAUACUAGGUGUUGCGCGUAUCGACCCGUGCAGUACCGUAGCUAACGCGUUAAGUAUCCCGCCUGGGGAGUACGCUCGCAAGAGUGAAACUCAAAG
rnacentral:rRNA from 1 species